rnacentral:lncRNA from 1 species
GGUGAGAACUAUAUAAAUAUAGUUCCCAGUGGGUUCGGCCGCCGACUCCGCCGAUCUUCCCACUAGGUCCAAGCUAGCAUAGAUAGAUAGAUAGAAAGAGAUAUAUGGAAAUAAACUACUACUAUAUCUACUAUGCCAUCAAAUGCAAGGUAUGCAUGGAACAUCAUCUAGCAACAACCUACCAUCAUGCUAGUAUGCCUCAACAGUGAAAUGAGUACAACUAUAACAUAGUUAUGCAAUGCACUAUGUCUAAUCAUGGUAUGAAUGCAAUACUCUUAUGCUAUUCAUGUUAUUACCCAAUCCGCUAGGCUAACUUGCCUAAGAUCUCAAAUCUAGUAGGUGAAGAGCUACCUCACUCUGGUCUCACUCGACUCAUAUCUCAAAGGUCUGACUCAAUCUCGUGAGUCCCAGGCAAAGAGCUACCCCGCCCCUCGCCCGACUCACAUCUCAAGGUCCUAGGCAAAGGCUACCCCGCACUUUGCCCAACUCAUAUCUCAAGGUCCUAGGCAAAGGCUACCCCGCACUUUGCCCGACUCACAACUCGACCUACUAGGUAUAGGGCUACUCCGCUCAAAUCUCAUAGGUGAAGGAAUAGUAUGUCCACUCACUGUAUGUAGGCAAAUCCACUAAUCCAACUACCAAGCGACUAUGCUCGCUAUCAAUGUAAGUCUCAGUGAAGGCUAACUAUGCUUCGAUCUGAUAUCAUGGAUGCAUGAACAAUAAAUAGUAGGGUAAGCAACUACUAUAAACAUCUACAACAACUAUCAUAGUAAGCUAUAAAACAUUCUACUAGGAAAGCAAAUAAGCUGAUAUGAACAGUGAAUAGCUACUAUGAACAUCAAUCGUGGGUAAGACUCAAUGGGUAACCCAAUCUCCAAGUGAACACAAGGUUCACAAGCAAAGCUCACAUGAAAACCUCCGAGGGAUGCCUAGCUGGACUAUCCCCGAGAACGCCUGCGGAUAACAAGCGGCUAUCCGAGCAGCAAGCAGGGCUGCCUCUCUAGUGACCAAACUCCGGAGCGCACAACUUGAGGGGAGAGACCCCACCAAGCGCAGACAGGCAAUGUGAGCAUGAUCAACUCACGAGCAACAACAACCCUUUGAGGGUAAUCUUAGCAUAGAUCAACAGUUCUUGUACCCAAUCUCAUAGUGUCACAACUACACUAAUGUUCUCAUGUCAAGGUUAUCAACAAUCAUAUGCCUCACAUCAUAGUUUUCUAUAACUAGAUGCCACUUGUCAUAGUUUUCUAAACUAGAUGCCACUCGUCAUUUAGACUCAUUUUCAACACUAGUUUCGUCAUACUAGUUCUUUAGCAACAUAAGCAUUAAUCAUCUCAUAUAGGGUCUAGGUUUUCAUCAUAUAAUCAUCAUGCAUACUAGAUCAUGAACCGACCAAGCAAGAUACUUUGAGCUUCUAGCAUGCAAUUAUAACAACAAUAUCCAACUCUUACCCUAUAUGAACAUGCACAAUAUGCAAUAAAUACAAUAUGCAACUUGAUCGAUUAAUGUACUCAACUAAAGUUUAAUCCACAUUAAUCAUGCCCUUAUAGGGUUUCACCACACUAAGUUCCAAUCUCAUGCAUACUAGGUACAAGUAUUAAUCAAGUAACACUACACUCCCACUAGCAUGCCAUGACAUGUAACAAUUGCCAACUAGUACCCUAUAAUGCAAUAUCCCACUAUGCAACUUGAUCAAUGUUAACUAGAGUUUCUAGUACAACAACCAAUCUAUUACUAAGUUCAAGUCAUAUGUAUUUUUAGCACAAUGAGUUCAAUGCCACUUGUAAACUAUGUCUCUAAAUACAACACUAGGUUCUUCUUUCAUUUAGCAUCAUAGGUUCAA